rnacentral:rRNA from 1 species
GAUGAACGCUGGCGGCGUGCUUAACACAUGCAAGUCGAACGAAGCACCUUAUUCUGAUUUCUUCGGAAUGAAAAAUUUGGUGACUGAGUGGCGGACGGGUGAGUAACGCGUGGGUAACCUGCCUCAUACAGGGGGAUAACAGUUAGAAAUGACUGCUAAUACCGAAUAAGACCACAGCACCGCAUGGUGCAGGGGUAAAAACUCCGGUGGGAUGAGAUGGACCCGCGUCUGAUUAGGUAGGUGGUGGGGUAACGGCCUACCAAGCCGACGAUCAGUAGCCGACCUGAGAGGGUGACCGGCCACAUUGGGACUGAGACACGGCCCAAACUCCUACGGGAGGCAGCAGUGGGGAAUAUUGCACAAUGGGGGAAACCCUGAUGCAGCGACGCCGCGUGAGCGAUGAAGUAUUUCGGUAUGUAAAGCUCUAUCAGCAGGGAAGAAAAUGACGGUACCUGACUAAGAAGCACCGGCUAAAUACGUGCCAGCAGCCGCAGUAACAC